UACGUAGGGGGCAAGCGUUGUUCGGAAUUACUGGGCGUAAAGGGCGCGUAGGCGGCAUGGCAAGUCGGGAGUGAAAGGCCUGGGCUCAACCCAGGAACUGCUUUCGAGACUGCCAAGCUAGAGUGCGGAAGGGGCAACUGGAAUUCCCAGUGUAGCGGUGAAAUGCGUAGAUAUUGGGAAGAACACCGGAGGCGAAGGCGGGUUGCUGGGCCGACACUGACGCUGAUGCGCGAAAGCCAGGGGAGCAAACGGG
rnacentral:rRNA from 1 species